CGCUCCUACCGAUUGAAUGGUCCGGUGAAGUGUUUGGAUCGCGGCGACGGUGCGGUUCGCUGCCCCCGACGUCGCGAGAAGUCCAUUGAACCUUAUCAUUUAGAGGAAGGAGAAGUCGUAACAAGGUUUCCGUAGGUGAACCUGCGGAAGGAUCAUUG
rnacentral:ncRNA from 1 species